rnacentral:rRNA from 1 species
AUGUCUGCAAGGGUGUCGAGCGGAUGCUCUCUUACGCAUGUUUCUUCAAGCUCUCCUUGCGAUGCACUAGCCGCCGCAAGCAAGCUUCAUCAACAGUCAGUCGGGUCUGCGGAUGAUGGAGGGUUCUCCCACAAUACAACGUCGAUUGAGGCUUCAGUUCACGCCAGAGCUGAAGGUGAACGAGUGGAAGAUGGAGAUGCCGAAGAAGAACCUGAAGUGCAGUCCCGGCUUGCGGUCCUGGAAGAGGUGGCCACUCAUGAUCCAGAAGAGCAGAUCUUGUCUGACGGAGAGAAAUUCACUUACACGGGCAGCUGCUGCGGAUCAACCACCAACUGCGUUCGUCAAUCAAGCACGGACAUCAACGACUACGCCAACCCAUCCAAGCGCGCAAGGCUUGCUGAAUAA